rnacentral:rRNA from 1 species
AACGAACGCUGGCGGCAUGCCUAACACAUGCAAGUCGAACGAGACCUUCGGGUCUAGUGGCGCACGGGUGCGUAACGCGUGGGAAUCUGCCCUUCGGUUCGGAACAACAGUUAGAAAUGACUGCUAAUACCGGAUAAUGACGUAAGUCCAAAGAUUUAUCGCCGAAGGAUGAGCCCGCGUAAGAUUAGGUAGUUGGUGGGGUAAUGGCCUACCAAGCCGACGAUCUUUAGCUGGUCUGAGAGGAUGAUCAGCCACACUGGGACUGAGACACGGCCCAGACUCCUACGGGAGGCAGCAGUGGGGAAUAUUGGACAAUGGGCGAAAGCCUGAUCCAGCAAUGCCGCGUGAGUGAUGAAGGCCUUAGGGUUGUAAAGCUCUUUUACCAGGGAUGAUAAUGACAGUACCUGGAGAAUAAGACUCCGGCUAACUCCGUGCCAGCAGCCGCGGUAAU